GUGAGGAAUAUUGCGCAAUGGAGGCAACUCUGACGCAGCCAUGCCGCGUGCAGGAAGAAGGCGCUACGCGUUGUAAACUGCUUUUAACCGGGAAGAAACCCCAGGACGUGUCCAGGGUUGACGGUACCGGAGGAAUAAGCACCGGCUAACUUCGUGCCAGCAGCCGCGGUAAUACGAAGGGUGCAAGCGUUAUCCGGAUUCAUUGGGUUUAAAGGGUGCGUAGGCGGAGCGUUAAGUCAGUGGUGAAAUCCUGCAGCUUAACUGUAGACUUGCCAUUGAUACUGGCGCUCUUGAGUGCGCUUGAAGUGGGCGGAAUGUGCCGUGUAGCGGUGAAAUGCUUAGAUAUGGCACAGAACACCAAUUGCGAAGGCAGCUCACUAAGGCGAUACUGACGCUGAGGCACGAAAGCGUGGGGAUCGAACAGGAUUAGAUACCCUUGUAGUCC
rnacentral:rRNA from 1 species